ACAGUGGUGGUUCAGUGGUAGAAUUCUCGCCUUCUAUGUGGGAGACCUGGGUUUGAUUCCCGGCCAACGCA
rnacentral:tRNA from 1 species